UACGUAGGGGGGCGAGCGUUGUCCGGAAUCAUUGGGCGUAAAGCGCGUGUAGGCGGCCCGGUAAGUCCGCUGUGAAAGUCCAGGGCUCAACCCUGGGAUGCCGGUGGAUACUGUCGGGCUCGAGUCCGGAAGAGGCGAGUGGAAUUCCUGGUGGUAGCGGUGAAAUGCGUAGAGAUCAUGAGGAAGACCAGUGGCGAAGGCGGGUCUCUGGACAGUUCCGUGACACUGAGACACGAAGGCCAGGGGAGCAAACGGG
rnacentral:rRNA from 1 species